rnacentral:rRNA from 1 species
AUUGAACGCUGGCGGCAGGCCUAACACAUGCAAGUCGAACGAGUGGCGGACGGGUGAGUAAUGUCUGGGAAACUGCCCGAUGGAGGGGGAUAACUACUGGAAACGGUAGCUAAUACCGCAUACCAUCGGAUGUGCCCAGAUGGGAUUAGCUAGUAGGUGGGGUAAUGGCUCACCUAGGCGACGAUCCCUAGCUGGUCUGAGAGGAUGACCGGCCACACGGGAACGGAGAAACGGCCAAGACUCCUAGGGGGGGAACAGGGGGGAAAUUUGGCACAAUGGGGGAAAGCCUGAGGAAGCACUGCGGCGUGUAUGAAGAAGGCUUUCGGGUGGUAAACUACUUUCAGCGAGGAGACGUUACUCGCAGAAGAAGCACCGGCUAACUCCGUGCCAGCAGCCGCGGUAAUAC